GUGUGUGACCCCAUAGGUUCUAUUCUGACUAGUAGUGAGAUAUAAUGUGAUCUCUAUCACAAUACCAUUGAAAACUCCUUUUAAUGGGUUGGAACGAUUCCAACUCUACUCAUCAGGAUUUAUCGAUCAUCGAGAUAAUCCCUAUGAGUCCCACCAUCCACCAGUGACAUCUAGCAGCAUGGCUACCCAGCAGAAUAGAAUGAUGAACAUCUAGGUGCAGUUAUCAUGUGAUACAGUCCUUCUAUCGUGGAUCCCUACAAGACGGAGGUCAUGGAUAACUCGUCAAACCCCUUCGUCU
rnacentral:lncRNA from 1 species